GUUUUGGUAAGGUAUGUUAACUUCAUGUUUUGGACUUGCAUUGAGAGACUACAAGAUGAAACUGAUUACUACGAGGCACAAUUAGCUGAUCUAUAUUAUUGGGUAAAUAAAUAUGUUUGUGUUCCUGACUAAUAAAACAAUUUAUAUUAUAAAUAUUGAUAUAUCUAACAAAUUUUAUAAGUUAGGGAAAAAGGUCUUGAAGCUUGGAGA
rnacentral:misc_RNA from 1 species